rnacentral:lncRNA from 1 species
UUUUUUUAAUUAUUGUCUAAUUGUUAAAACAAUAGCUUGGGUAAAGGCUUCGUUGUUUACUGUACCCUUAUACACAACAACAUAUUCACUUUGGUUUCGUUGUUUACCUAAAUACACAACAACAUAUUCAGUGAGUGACGGUGGAUUUCACAGUGAAAUUCACUAUGUACUUGGUACCUGUUAUUAAUUAAUUGAAUAGAAAAUAUUAUAACAAAUAUUAUUGGAUGCCGAAUUGCGUCAAAUAGUGCCGAUUUGACUAGAUGCCAAUUUAUUCAG